rnacentral:lncRNA from 1 species
AUCGCUUCUCGGCCUUUCGGCUAAGAUCAAAUAUAAAUGAGUGCCAUACUGCUUUUGCUUCACAGAAAUGUCUUCUGCCUCAUGCACCAUUCUCUACUGUCAUCUCCCACCUGAGAGAACACAUAGAAGGGCUCAGCAAAAUUCUCUGUAAAAUGAGUACAGCAAUUAAUUUUUUCCUGGCAACAUAUGACACUCAUUUUUCCCAUAUGUUAUUUUUAUUAUGCUAAUGCAAUUCAAAAAUCUGGCGAAUAUUUCAUUAGUAAGAUUAAAAUGUCACCUUGGGAAUUCUGGCUAGGUUACAUGCCAAACCCUCUCUUCUUUGAUAAUCUUUUGGUGUUGGUAAACAAUGCAAGCACAAUGCCAAUUAUCUAGAUCCAGAUCAUGUUUAUCAUUUAAGUGAC